rnacentral:lncRNA from 10 species
UUUGAAUUUAAAUUUAAACUUAAUUUAAGGAUAAUUUAAAGGAAAAUCUUCCCUUACCUAUUUCAUGCUGAAGGGGUCUUUCAAGUUGUCAAACUCUCUCUAUAUAAAUAAGACUGCAUAAUCCAGACCCUCCGGAAUCCAGAGAUGAAUUGCAUGUGGUAGCUGAUGUGUGGGAAGCCCACAGAGCAGCACUUCUGGUCAUUGCCAUCCAGCUAGCUGGUGCUCUCAGAAGAAUGAGAUGAAGAGGCAUGACUUUCAAGCUUCCUCUGCCAUACAAGUACAGAGGCCUUCCCUGUGACUUCC